GGAUGAGUCACAGACUCUUAACCAGAUGGAAUGAGAAGACAGAAUGGACUGUUUUAAGAGAGAGAGAGAGAGAGCGGAGGUGGUCAGUGGAUAGCUGGUUGUGAUGAAGACCAAGAUGGGCUUUAGUGAGAUGCUUUGAGCCACAACCUGGAAGCGGGAGGUUAUGGGGUAGGCUUUAGUGAAUGAGGAAGUAUUAGCAUUUUUACUGUGCCUGGGCCUCCGCCCAGCUGUUACCUUCCUUCCCAUGUUAUAAUUGGGUGUAUAGAUGAUGACUUCCACUGCCCUUUGGAAUAGGUCCUCUGUGGGCAGGAGCCAUGCUCCUCAUGUAGCGUCCGUCCCAGGAGAGUCUGACACGGCCUGACCCAUGGUAACUGCAAAUCCAGACAUUUUCAUAUGUAACUCUUCCCCCUCCUGAUUUUCCAUGUUUCUGUUUUCCUUUAGUUUCAUGAAAGAAAUUUUGUGAAAGAAUCUAAUCUCAUCUCAGCUGAAAAAAAACCCAGGAUGUAAUCCCCAUUUUACAGGAUGGAGAGGCAUUCAGUGGUUCUCUGAUGGCCCAGGAGUUGGGUGAGAGUGAGAGUCCCCUCUCGGGAGCCCCGGAAGAAUGAGUUACUGGGGCAGAUGGUGUGGGGCCUCAGGAGGGAAAGAUUCAGGGCCUACAGCAGACAGUGGUAUAACCUCCCACCUUUCCCACUUCUAGGAGGGUCUCCAUGAGCUGAGUCCUUAGUCCACCCAUCCACACCCUACUACGUGCUGGGCUAGGAACACAUGGAUGAGCUGGACACAGACCCUGCCAGAAGGAGAUCACCGUCUGGUUAAGGGGAUAGAUUCACAGAGAAAGAACUGCAGGCUGGUGUCUACAAUGGAGGGUUUGGCCAUAGCAAAGGGAACUUGCUAGUGUAGGGAAAGAGGGUCAGGGAAGACUCCCGAGAACAUGGCUUCCUAGAGCCCAGGGUCUUGACAAGUGCCACGACAGGAGGAGGGAGCCAUGAAGCCUGGGAAGAUGGCGAGGAAAUGGUGAGUCACGCUGAUGCUGCGCCAUGGCUGGCUCAUGGGUGCGUUGAGGAGAGGGAGGCCAGUCCUGUCAGGGAGUCUGCACGUUAGCCUGCAAAAACAGGGGGGACUUUGGCACCUGAAGUCUUUAACCUGGAUGCUGGGUGAAGGGUGAGACCGGGAGCUAGUUCAAAGUAGAGAGGAGAGGGGCUCACAUUUGAAUAUGUGGAGUCUGAGAUGCCCACGAUAUUCCCCGUGCUCCUCGACUUGCCUAUUCUCUCUGCCCACGUUGUUCCCUGCCACGGCUGGCAACACCCUUCCCCUCAUCCAUCAGCUCAGCGUUUUCUCCAGGAAACUGCCUUGAUCUUGGCAGCUGAAAGCGAUUUUCCUGUCAGAGCUUCUGUAGCUCCACAUUUAACACCUCUUAGGCAGCACAUCUGCCCAGCUUUCCCACCGCUCCUGGUUUCCUCGGUAGGGGUAUCCCAUGGUCUUCACCUUGUGAAGCAGGAAGUGAUGAAACAAUAACUCAGGCAACGAGUGUCCCUGCACCCACAGAGGGACCACCCACAGCCCUUUCAGGGCUGACCUUAAGCAGGAAGAGACUUAUGCUCCAGCGGGCAUCCAACACUCCUCCCAUGCCUGGGAACCCAGAGGUAGGCCAGCUGGUGCUGCGAUUACACAGACCAGGAUGUUCUGGUUUCAGAGGUGGGGUUGGGAGCUGCAGCCUCUGGAGAAGCCAGGUGAUAAAACCUAAAUACUCAGGCUUCAUGUGAAACCAACACCUAAGCAGAUGAGGACUCAUCAGCCUCCCCGCCCACACCGCCUUCUCCCUGGGACCGAGGCCUGCCACCUUCCUGAGGGACGAAGAUUCCUGCUCUAUAUGGAGGACGCAGGCUCUAGGUCAUUCUGAGAACGUGACUUCAUGACUGUACGUGGGUUACACCCCUGAUGAGGCAUCCCUUGUUCCAAUCCCUCAGCAGGGGCUGCGAGGCACGUGAGGUAGGAGGGGCAGCUGCAGAUGCCCCCAAGGGAGGUGGGGGAGGGGCCGAGGAGGGGCCCUGGAAUCAGUCCCAGCUUCCCCAGGACUGUGACUUCUCUGGUCUGAAAGUGCUUGCACAGGGAGGGGCCAGUUCCAGCCAGACCUAUGGUCCGGCUGUCCUGAAUAGAGCUGGACAGGGCAUUGUGCAGGUGCUGGAGACAGCAGUGAGCAAAAGCAGUCCUGUCCCUGUUAAGCUGAAAGGCGGUUGGAGGACCAAGGGCUUAAAGCACAGGUGCAACAGUAGAUCUUUGAUGGCUCCAUCCCCUCUGCCCCCACUCCAGAUUCCAGGACUGACAGUUGCUCCAGACAGACAUCUUUUGGAGUAUCUACCCUGCUCACAAUGACCAACUUCACUCUGGGAAUGAACCCCAGUAACCAGGAUUCCAUUCUGUGACCCAGCACCACGGGUACAGUUGAUUGGAUAGAAGUGAACUCCAGACUCAAGCUGUGUGUGUGUGCUAGGUCGCUUCAGCUGUGUCCAGUUCUUUGUGACCCUAUGGACAUUUGCAACCCCAUGGACUGCAGCCCGCCAGUCUCCUCUGUCCAUGGGAUUCUUCAGGCACGAAUACUAGAGUGGGUUGCCAUGUUCUCCUCCAGCGGAUCUUCCCGGCCCAGGGAUCAAACACUAGUCUCUUGCGUCUCCUGCAUUGGCAGACGGGUUCUUUACCACUAGCACCACCUGGGAAACCAAACAGUUGCCUUUGGCAAUUUGAAGUCAGACUAGGGACUCCAUGUCAGCCUUAUGGCAUGUACUCAUGUGAUGCUAAGGGUUCCCUUCUGCCAGCUGAACUAGCAACAGGAGGCUGGUCUGCAGAGAGCCAAGAAUAAGAGAGGGGGGUGGUUCCAGCCAAGUCCCAGGUCUUAGUUCAAGUCCUUCUCAAGACCUGAUGGUAUCUCAGCUCUGAGAUUCCAUGGCACACUCCUACUGCUGCUGCUGCUGCUAAGUCAGUUCAGUCGUGUCCGACUCUGUGCGACCCCAUAGAUGGCAGCCCACCAGGCUCCCCCAUCCCUGGGAUUCUCUAGGCAAGAACACUGGAGUGGGUUGCCAUUUCCUUCUCCAAUGCAUGAAAGUGAAAAGUGAAAGUGAAGUCGCUCAGUCAUGACACAUCCCUAGGGCUAGAAACUAAACUCUCCUUUUUGCUUAAACUGGCUAGAGUUGGUUUCUGUUAUUUGUAAAUAAAGAAGUGUACCCAUAAGUUCUCUGUUCAGAACUAGAAUCUCAUGGUGCCAAUUUUACUACGUUUAAUACAUUAGGGCAUACAUUUUAAUACAUUAGCAAUACUAGUCUACACUUGCUGCCCCUGCCAAAUCCCACCAUGUGACAUAUACUAGAUGAGCAAUAAAUACAGAUUCUUUUAUGUGGCUGGUCAUCAUAGGUGAUCAGGAAUGCUAGCCCUUCCUGCUGCCUGGCACACAGCACAUUUCCUUCCUUGAGAAUCUGCUCCCCAGUUUUGCUCAGCUGUGGAGAGUCUGAUGGCAUCUCAGACAUGCCCUGAGAAUAAGCAGGCCCCAGAACCUCCAAGGCCUAGGAAAGCUCACCCCAACAGAGCUCAAGGAGAAUGAGCCCCAGAAUGCUUGGUCUUGACAUGCCUUCUCUCUCACCUCUCACUCCAGAUCCUGAACAGUGAUUGUUGGGGGUCCAAGCUGGACAUGCAGAUAUUCCCAGGCCCCCCGGUCCCCCUUCCACACUUGCUGGGACCUGCUGGUUGGUAAUGGCUUGUUAUGCUUUGUAAGAAGCAAUGGAGAGUCUGUGCCUCCUCUCUUUGGAUCUGAGUGGGUUCUAAGACUGCUUUGAUCAACAACAUGGUUCCUUGCUGAAUUAAAUCUACAAUACCUUGAAAAGUACAGUAGUACAGUAUAACACCUGGCACACAGAGGCUGGCACUGAGUCAAAAGGCAAGAAGAGUUACUGACUGGAGGAGGGAGAGGAGGUGGAGAUCAUAAAGCUGAAGGAUCAUCAGCAAUAGGAGACAGAGGGCAAGCUGCACUUUCACUCACACUGAUGUUGACUAACUGAUAAAAUGUUGUAUUUAAUAGCGAACCACUUUUUAUUCUGUGGGGUCUCUAUCUUUCAGUUCAGUUCAGUUCAGUCGCUCAGUCAUGUCCGACUCUUUGCUACCCCAUGGACUGCAGCACAACAGGCCUCCCUGUCCAUCAUCAACUCCCGGAGUUUACUAAAACUCAUGUCCAUUGAGUUGGUGAUGCCAUCCAACCAUCUAAUCCUCUGUUGUCCCCUUCUCCUCCUGCCUUCCAUCUUUCCCAGCAUCAGGGUCUUUUCAAAUGAGUCAGCUCUUCACAUCAGGUGGCCAAAGUAUUGGAGUUUCAGCUUCAGCAUCAGUCCUUCCAAUGAAUAUUCAGGACUGAUUUACUUUAGGAUGGACUGGUUGCAUCUCCUGGCAGUCCAAGGGACUCUCAAGAGUCUUCUCCAACACCACAGUUCAAAAGCAUCAAUUUUUCAGUGCUCAGCUUUCUUUAUAGUCCAACUCUCACAUCCAUACAUGACCACUGAAAAAACCAUAGCCUUGACUAGAUGGACCUUUGUUGGCCUCUGCUUUUUAAUACGCUAUCUAGGUAGGUCAUAGCUUUUCUUCCAAGAACCAAGUGUCUUUUAAUUUCUUGGCUACAGUCACCAUCUCCAGUGAUUCUGAAGCCCCCAAAAAUAAAGUCUGCCACUCUUCCCACUGUUUCCCCAUCUAUUUGCCAUGAAGUGAUGGGACCUGAUGCCACGAUCUUAGUUUUCUGAAUGUUGAGCUUUAAGCCAACUUUUUCACUCUCCUCUUUCACUUUCAUCAAGAGGCUCUUUAGUUCUUCUUCACUGUCUGCCAUAAGGGUGGUGUCAUCUGCAUAUCUGAGGUUAUUGAUAUUUCUCCCGGCAAUUUUGAUUCUAGCUUGUGCUUCAUCCAGCCCAGCCUUUCUCAUGAUGUACUCUGCAUAUAAGUUAAAUAAGCAGGGUGACAAUAUACAGCCUUGACAUACUCCUUUUCCUAUUUGCAACCAGUCUGUUGUUCCAUGUCCAGUUCUAUCUGUUGCUUACUGACCUGCAUACAGGUUUCUCAAGAGGCAGGUCAGGUGGUCUGGUAUUCCCAUCCCUUUCAGAAUUUUCCACAGUUUAUAGUGAUCCAUACAGUCAAAAGCUUUGGCAUAGUCAAUGAAGCAGAAAUAGCUGUUUUUCUGGAACUCUUGCUUUUUUGAUGAUCCAGCAGAUGUUGGCAAUUUGAUCUCUGGUUCCUCUGCCUUUUCUAGAACCAGUUUGAACACCUGGAAGUUCAUAGUUCAUGUAUUGUUGAAGCCUGGCUUGGAGAAUUUUGAGCAUUACUUUACUAGUGUGUGAGAUGAGUGCAAUUGGGUGGUAGUUUGAGCAUUCUUUGGGAUUGCCUUUCUUAGGGAUUAGAAUGAAAACUGACCUUUCCCAGUCCUGUGGCCACUGCUGAGUUUUCCAAAUUUGCUGGUAUAUUGAGUGCAGCACUUUCACAGCAUCAUCUUUUAGGAUUUGAAAUAGUUCAACUGGAAUUCCAUCACCUCCACUAUUGUAGAUUAAAAAUGUUUAUCUUUCUUCUGUAUUAUUUGUGUGAAAACUGUUACAAACCUAUUAUAGCACAGUACUAGAUAGUUGAUUGUGUUAGUUGGACACCUAGGCUAACUUUGUAGGACUUAAAACAAAUCGGACUUAUGAACCCGCUCUCAGAAUGGAACUUGUGUAUUUGUAGGGGACUUAUUAUAGAAACACUUGCCAGCCAUGUGAGCGAGCCAUCUUCCAGCCUCAGUCACCUUCCCUAGCUGAUACCACUUAGAGCAGAGAUAAGAUGUCAAGGGAAGUCCUUCUUGAACUUCUGACCCAUAAAGUGAUAAACAAAAUAAAGCUGUUGCUUUAAGCUGCAAAGCUUUGGUAUAGCUUUAGAUAUAAUAAUAAAUAACCAAAACAACUGAUGAUCCAGAAUUUUCUAAAUAAGGUGAGGGAAUUUCAUUCUCACAAAGGAAGGGACUAUUGAAAAGAGGAAAAAAAAAUCAGACUAGAAAACUAUUCUAGGCUGAAAACCAGUCACGACUCUCAAACACCUGCAAAUAUUUUAUAGUACUUGU